AUUGAACGCUGGCGGCAUGCUUUACACAUGCAAGUCGAACGGUAACAGGCCGCAAGGUGCUGACGAGUGGCGAACGGGUGAGUAAUGCAUCGGAACGUGCCCAGUCGUGGGGGAUAACGCAGCGAAAGCUGUGCUAAUACCGCAUACGAUCUAUGGAUGAAAGCGGGGGACCGUAAGGCCUCGCGCGAUUGGAGCGGCCGAUGUCAGAUUAGGUAGUUGGUGGGGUAAAGGCUCACCAAGCCAACGAUCAGUAGCUGGUCUGAGAGGACGACCAGCCAAACUGGGACUGGGACACGGCCCAGACUCCUACGGGAGGCAGCAGUGGGGAAUUUUGGACAAUGGGCGCAAGCCUGAUCCAGCAAUGCCGCGUGCAGGAAGAAGGCCUUCGGGUUGUAAACUGCUUUUGUACGGAACGAAAAGGUUUGGGUUAAUACCCUGGGCCGAUGACGGUACCGUAAGAAUAAGCACCGGCUAACUACGUGCCAGCCGCCGCCGUAA
rnacentral:rRNA from 1 species